rnacentral:rRNA from 1 species
UACGGAGGGUGCAAACGUUGCUCGGAAUCAUUGGGCGUAAAGCGCACGUAGGCGGCCAACUAAGUCCGACGUGAAAUCCCAAGGCUUAACCUUGGAACUGCGUCGGAUACUGGAUGGCUUGAAUUCGGGAGAGGGAUGCAGAAUUCCAGGUGUAGCGGUGAAAUGCGUAGAUAUCUGGAGGAAUACCGGUGGCGAAGGCGGCAUCCUGGACCGACAUUGACGCUGAUGAGCGAAAGCUAGGGGAGCAAACGGGG